rnacentral:rRNA from 1 species
UACGAAGGGGGCUAGCGUUGUUCGGAAUUAAUGGGCGUAAAGCGCGCGUAGGCGGAUAUUUAAGUCAGGGGUGAAAUCCCGGGGCUCAACCCUGGAACUGCCUUUGAUACUGGAUAUCUGGAGUUCGGGAGAGGUGAGUGGAAUUCCGAGUGUAGAGGUGAAAUUCGUAGAUAUUCGGAGGAACACCAGAAGCGAAGGCGGCUCACUGGCCCGAUACUGACGCUGAGGCGCGAAAGCGUGGGGAGCAAACAGG